UACAGAGGUCCCGAGCGUUGUUCGGAUUCAUUGGGCGUAAAGGGUGCGUAGGCGGCGGAGCAAGUCUGAUGUGAAAUCCCGGGGCUCAACCCCGGAACUGCAUUGGAUACUGCUUUGCUAGAGUACUGGAGAGGGAACUGGAAUUUACGGUGUAGCAGUGAAAUGCGUAGAGAUCGUAAGGAAGGCCAGUGGCGAAGGCGAGUUCCUGGACAGUUACUGACGCUGAGGCACGAAGGCCAGGGGAGCAAACAGG
rnacentral:rRNA from 1 species